GACUGGAGGACAUCUGCAAGAAGGAAUCAAUAAAGAUUUCCACGACAGUGACUGAAGUCUACAGUCUGCUGACUCCAGAGUCUGGGUCAAGAGCAGAGCUUUUACACUAUCCUGUGAAGCGAGCCCCUAUCCCUAAAUCACAAUGGCAGUGGUUGUGCAGUGCUGCAGGUAAGUCUGUCUCUUCUUGAUGACAGAGAUGCUGUUUUAAGCUCUAGUGUCUG